rnacentral:rRNA from 1 species
GACGAACGCUGGCGGCGUGCUUAACACAUGCAAGUCGAACGGAAAGGCCCUGCUUUUGUGGGGUGCUCGAGUGGCGAACGGGUGAGUAACACGUGAGUAACCUGCCCUUGACUUUGGGAUAACUUCAGGAAACUGGGGCUAAUACCGGAUAGGAGCUCCUGCUGCAUGGUGGGGGUUGGAAAGUUUCGGCGGUUGGGGAUGGACUCGCGGCUUAUCAGCUUGUUGGUGGGGUAGUGGCUUACCAAGGCUUUGACGGGUAGCCGGCCUGAGAGGGUGACCGGCCACAUUGGGACUGAGAUACGGCCCAGACUCCUACGGGAGGCAGAAGUGGGGAAUAUUGCACAAUGGGCGGAAGCCAGAUGCAGCAACGCCGCGUGCGGGAUGACGGCCUUCGGGUUGUAAACCGCUUUCGCCUGUGACGAAGCGUGAGUGACGGUAAUGGGUAAAGAAGCACCGGCUAACUACGUG